GGGCGCAAGCCUGAUGCAGCAACGCCGCGUGAGGGACGACGGCCUUCGGGUUGUAAACCUCUUUUAGCAGGGAAGAAGCGAAAGUGACGGUACCUGCAGAAAAAGCACCGGCUAACUACGUGCCAGCAGCCGCGGUAAUACGUAGGGUGCAAGCGUUGUCCGGAAUUAUUGGGCGUAAAGAGCUCGUAGGCGGUUUGUCGCGUCUGCUGUGAAAACCCGAGGCUCAACCUCGGGCCUGCAGUGGGUACGGGCAGACUAGAGUGCGGUAGGGGAGAUUGGAAUUCCUGGUGUAGCGGUGGAAUGCGCAGAUAUCAGGAGGAACACCGAUGGCGAAGGCAGAUCUCUGGGCCGUAACUGACGCUGAGGAGCGAAAGCGUGGGGAGCAAACAGGCUUAGAUACCCUGGUAGUCCACGCCGUAAACGUUGGGAACUAGAUGUGGGGACCAUUCCACGGUCUCCGUGUCGUAGCUAACGCAUUAAGUUCCCCGCCUG
rnacentral:rRNA from 1 species